ensembl:snRNA U6 U6 spliceosomal RNA
GUAAACAAAAUGUGGUAUAUACAUGUAGUAAAAUAUUAUUUAGCCUGCAGAGGAGAUUAGCAUGGCCUCUGCAGAAGGAUGACACACAAAUUCAUGAAGCAUUUCAUAUUUUU